rnacentral:rRNA from 1 species
GAUGAACGCUGGCGGCGUGCCUAAUACAUGCAAGUCGAGCGAACAGACGAGGAGCUUGCUCCUCUGACGUUAGCGGCGGACGGGUGAGUAACACGUGGAUAACCUACCUAUAAGACUGGGAUAACUUCGGGAAACCGGAGCUAAUACCGGAUAAUAUAUUGAACCGCAUGGUUCAAUAGUGAAAGACGGUUUUGCUGUCACUUAUAGAUGGAUCCGCGCCGCAUUAGCUAGUUGGUAAGGUAACGGCUUACCAAGGCAACGAUGCGUAGCCGACCUGAGAGGGUGAUCGGCCACACUGGAACUGAGACACGGUCCAGACUCCUACGGGAGGCAGCAGUAGGGAAUCUUGCGCAAUGGGCGAAAGCCUGACGGAGCAACGCCGCGUGAGUGAUGAAGGUCUUCGGAUCGUAAAGCUCUGUUAGUAGGGAAGAAGAAAUGUGUAAGUAACUAUGCACGUCUUGACGGUACCUAAACAGAAAGCCACGGCUAACUACGUG